UUGACAGAGCCAUGUCGUUGGUAAUACUGUUGAUUUCACGACACUAUUAUUUUUUGUUAAAGUAGUUUCACACGUGCUGCAACUAUUUUCAUGAAACUCAUUCCAACAUGCAUAACACUAGUUUCGUAAUGUAAAUUCGGCUUAACUUUAUUAUGUUAUAACAUGUAG